rnacentral:rRNA from 1 species
ACGCUCGACACCUACGUGAGGCAGCAGUGGGGAAUAUUGCACAAUGGGGGAAACCCGUGAUGCAGCGACGCCGCGUGGAGGAAGAAGGUCUUCGGAUUGUAAACUCCUGUUGUUGGGGAAAAAGAGGAUGGUACCCAACAAGGAAGUGACGGCUAACUACGUGCCAGCAGCCGCGGUAAUCUGAGCGGGCUGGCAAGGC